rnacentral:rRNA from 2 species
CUGAUGGAGCAAUGCCGCCGUGAGUGAAGAAGAGUUUCGGCUCGUAAACCUCUGUGUUAAAGAAGAACACCUUUGAGAGUAACUGUUCAAGGGUUGACGGUAUUUAACCAGAAAGCCACGGCUAACUACGUGCCAGCAGCCGCGGUAAUACGUAGGUGGCAAGCGUUGUCCGGAUUUAUUGGGCGUAAAGCGAGCGCAGGCGGUUUUUUAAGUCUGAUGUGAAAGCCUUCGGCUUAACCGGAGAAGUGCAUCGGAAACUGGGAGACUUGAGUGCAGAAGAGGACAGUGGAACUCCAUGUGUAGCGGUGGAAUGCGUAGAUAUAUGGAAGAACACCAGUGGCGAAGGCGGCUGUCUAGUCUGUAACUGACGCUGAGGCUCGAAAGCAUGGGUAGCGAACAGGAUUAGAUACCCUGGUAGUCCAUGCCGUAAACGAUGAGUGCUAAGUGUUGGAGGGUUUCCGCCCUUCAGUGCUGCAGCUAACGCAUUAAGCACUCCGCCUGGGGAGUACGACCGCAAGGUUGAAACUCAAAGGAAUUGACGGGGGCCCGCACAAGCGGUGGAGCAUGUGGUUUAAUUCGAAGCUACGCGAAGAACCUUACCAGGUCUUGACAUCUUCUGCCAAUCUUAGAGAUAAGACGUUCCCUUCGGGGACAGAAUGACAGGUGGUGCAUGGUUGUCGUCAGCUCGUGUCGUGAGAUGUUGGGUUAAGUCCCGCAACGAGCGCAACCCUUAUUAUCAGUUGCCAGCAUUCAGUUGGGCACUCUGGUGAGACUGCCGGUGACAAACCGGAGGAAGGUGGGGAUGACGUCAAAUCAUCAUGCCCCUUAUGACCUGGGCUACACACGUGCUACAAUGGACGGUACAACGAGUUGCGAAGUCGUGAGGCUAAGCUAAUCUCUUAAAGCCGUUCUCAGUUCGGAUUGUAGGCUGCAACUCGCCUACAUGAAGUUGGAAUCGCUAGUAAUCGCGGAUCAGCAUGCCGCGGUGAAUACGUUCCCGGGCCUUGUACACACCGCCCGUCACACCAUGAGAGUUUGUAACACCCAAAGCCGGUGAGAUAACCUUCGGGAGUCAGCCGUCUAAGUGAGCUCGCA